rnacentral:misc_RNA from 1 species
AAAUGCGAUAAGUAAUGUGAAUUGCAGAAUUCAGUGAAUCAUCGAAUCUUUGAACGCACAUUUCGCCCGCCAGUAUUCUGGCGGGCAUGCCUGUUCGAGCGUCAUUACAACCCUCAGGCCCCCGGGCCUGGCGUUGGGGAUCGGCGGAAGCCCCCUGCGGGCACAACGCCGUCCCCCAAAUACAGUGGCGGUCCCGCCGCAGCUUCCAUUGCGUAGUAGCUAACACCUCGCAACUGGAGAGCGGCGCGGCCACGCCGUAAAACACCCAACUUCUGAAUGUUGACCUCGAAUCAGGUAGGAAUACCCGCUGAACUUAAGC